GGUCAUGCUGAGGAAGCGGCACUUGAAUUUGCCAAGCUAGAUGACAUCACCUCCCGAUUUAAAUGUGCUACUGUUGGCAAAACUCCACCCCAAGGGGUUAGGCCAAGAGGACAUUAACAGACUGUCCAUGGCAGAAGUAGCCUCAUCAUCACCCGCAACGGUGCGUAAGCUGAGUCAAAGGAGCUGAGCGAGUGGAGAGCAGAGACGGUCGGCAGGGGACAGGGCAGGCAGAUAGGGGACGCGAGGACAAGGAGUACUUAUUUGGCAGAACACAGCAGAGUUGAUGUCAUUUUGAGGAACUUGUUUGCCUGGGGAUUAUGUGAUUAAUGAGCACCGCGGGGCUCACCAGGGCACAGAGCUGAGUUUGGAAUGACGGGGGACUUCAGGACCCGGCUGCAGUCACCACUGCAGUGCCAAGUAAAUCAAUGCCGAAUCUGUAGUAAAUGGACUAAUUAAUACACUUGGAGGGUUCAAAAGCCCUCUCCAGCUCUAGAGAAGUUAUGACCAUGAGAAACGAUUGUCUGAAAGUUGGCUUCAUUUUCUAAACGCCACCUAACUGUAAAUACCACAGUUGUUUUCUUAGUGAAGCAGAAAUCAGAGCGCACCGGCUUCCGCCUGCCUCUGCUGGUGGACUCCCUCCCUGCACCCUCCUGGCCGCAGGUGGCUGGCCUCCCCCUUGCAGCCUCUCCUGCCUGGGCUCCCCUCUCCUGUCCUCCCCCAGCCACUCUCUCAUGCCGACGUCCCAGCACCACUUCUCCAGGCGCGCCAACCCACAGCUCCUUUCUGAGUGGCGGAGCCGGGAGCAGAGCCGAGGGAGAAGGGGGAGCCAGAGCCAGGGGGAGACUUCAGGACAGGUUUUCCAGGAAAGCAGAGCUGACGGACCUCCAGAGAUCCAUGGAAGACUCCAAUCGCAGGGUGAGGAGUCCCGUGGUCUGCCACGUGAAUGCCAGAGUCCCAGGAAUGCAGUGUCCAAGGCAGAAGAUGGAGUCAGCUCAAGACCAGUGGACUUGCUCUGUCUUCUGGGUCUACUGUGGCCCAGGGCAGUUUGGAUAUGCGGCCUAGUGUGGGUUGGGGGCUUGGGGGCAUCUUCUCUACCCACCCUGAUUCCAAUGCUCUUCUCUCCAGAGCCCACUCAGGGACACCCAGGAGCUGUGUUUCUCCAGCUACCGUGGGCGCCAUCAACACCAGCCAAGUUGACACAUGAAAUUAAACAUUCUGCCAUUUUGACCAGCUUCCCAAGACCCAGCCACAAGAGGAGUCUGUGGUUUUGAAUCUUGGAGCUGCUGGGGAUGCAGGGAGCCUUGGACUCUGGGUAGAGGCUGCAGGGCUGGCCCUGGGUCCCUGCUGUGCUCCUAGGACACUGCCCAGAUUGGUGAGGUUGCAGGUCUGCAGAGUCUCCACACACCCCAUGCAGGGUCACCCUCUUCCCUCCACAUCCAAGGUCUGCAGAGCACCAGCCGUGCUGGGGGUGAACUAUGCCGUUCUAAAGAACCCCAAGCCUGCAGCUGACACUGCUCAGGCAGCCUCGGGCUUACCCAGUCCAAAGAGCUGGACGACCCGGAGCAAGGCCUACUGGACCCACCGCCAGCCCGCACUCCCCAACCCGGGCUGCUCAGGCCCACAGAGCGCCCUCAGUAGUCGGGACAGCUGAGGCCUCCCACCGUUCACCUGGGCCCACACAUUCUCGGCUGCUCCCCCAGGCCCAAGCCCUGGGAGGGAGGGGCGCAGGGCCUCCACAGUGAGGAAGAGCCGCUCCCACACCUCACUGCCAACAGCAGCCAGAGCCUGUCCUUUGGCCCAGCACCCUGGCUGGAAGACAGGGGCAGGAAAGCCCCACCCCAGACCUGUCCCCACACCCAUGAGCCCACGCUGCAGUGGGUUCUCAGAGGGGCAGGAGGGCUCUCCUCACAAACCACCCAGCCCACUGCCCCAAUACACAC
rnacentral:lncRNA from 1 species